rnacentral:rRNA from 1 species
UUCUGCGACGACAUCACCCUGAAUUAGCCUGACAUCUUUGGAUCUUGGGUGCUAAGCGGCGGUUGAGCCUGGUUAAUGCUUUGAUAGGAGACUGCCUGGGAAUGCCACGGGUGCUGCUGUAA